rnacentral:rRNA from 1 species
UACCAGCACCCCGAGUGGUCGGGACGAUUAUUGGGCCUAAAGCAUCCGUAGCCGGUCCUGCAAGUCUUCCGUUAAAUCCAGCUGCUCAACAGAUGGGCUGCGGAGGAUACUACAGGGCUAGGAGGCGGGAGAGGCAAGCGGUACUUUAUGGGUAGGGGUAAAAUCCGUUGAUCCAUUGAAGACCACCAGUGGCGAAGGCGGCUUGCCAGAACGCGCUCGACGGUGAGGGAUGAAAGCUGGGGGAGCAACCGG